ACAGGAGUGGCUCAGUUGGUAGAGCACUAGGCUGGGGGUCUAGGGGUCGAGGGUUCGAGUCCCUUCUCUUGUG
rnacentral:tRNA from 2 species